rnacentral:misc_RNA from 1 species
GAUGCAUGGGUCUGCUCUUUAUCCCACGGACAGCCAUGAUCACCUCGCAAUUCGGCCAUGACGUCCAGCAGUCGGGAAAACCUUUUUCCUGCGGCUUUGCUGUUCACAAGACAACCUCCAAGAUCGUAGGGUGGAGCGCUGCUCAAGCGCAAAUCUUACGUGUCGCACUCCGCCUUGUCCAGCAGCAUCAAGGACCCGUGGCAGCCUGUCGUUACCAACGAGAUUUAAACUGCCGCCGUAUUCAGUAUGGACCGGGCGAAAAAAAUCUGAUAGACGAAACACAACUCAGAGCGCCGGGAAAUUUCGUGGAGGGUAACUAUG